rnacentral:rRNA from 1 species
CCUACGGGUGGCAGCAGUGGGGAAUAUUGGGCAAUGGGCGCAAGCCUGACCCAGCAACGCCGCGUGAAGGAAGAAGGCUUUCGGGUUGUAAACUUCUUUUCUCAGGGACGAAGCAAGUGACGGUACCUGAGGAAUAAGCCACGGCUAACUACGUGCCAGCAGCCGCGGUAAUACGUAGGUGGCAAGCGUUUUCCGGAUUUACUGGGUGUAAAGGGCGUGUAGGCGGGACUGCAAGUCAGAUGUGAAAACGACGGGCUCAACCUGUAGCCUGCCUUUGAAACUGUAGUCCUUGAGUACUGGAGAGGCAGACGGAAUGCCUAGUGUAGCGGUGAAAUGCGUAGAUAUUAGGAGGAACACCAGUGGCGAAGGCGGUCUGCUGGGCAGCAACUGACGCUGAGGCGCGAAAGCGUGGGGAGCAAACAGGAUUAGAUACCCGAGUAGUC